rnacentral:rRNA from 1 species
UUAGAUUUUAUUUAUUAAUAUUAAUUUUUUAAAAAUUUAAAUUAUUAAAAAUAAUUAUAUAAUUAAUUGUUUUAGUAUUUUAUUAAGAAAAAAUAAUAUUUAUAAUAGUUUAAUAGUAUUGUGAAAGAAUAUUGAAAUAAUUUGAAAAAUUUUUAUUAUAUAAGAAAAUUUAAUUUAUUGUACCUUGUGUAUCAGGGUUUAUUUAUUAAAAAUUAUUUAAAUUAAUUUUCUCGAUUUUAAAAGAGUUAAUAUAUUAUUAAAUUUAAUGUAACAAUAUUAUUUUAAAUAAUAUAUUAGAAAUGAAAUGUUAUUCGUUUUUAAAGGUAUCUAGUUCUUUAAGAAAUAAAUUUAAUUUAGAAAUUUUAUAUUAAUUAAUUAAAUAUAUUAAUUGGUUAAUUAUUUAAUUUUAAUAUUUUAUGGGAUAAGCUAUAAAAUAAAUUUUUAAAAAUUAUUAAAUAAAAUAUUAAAUAUAAACUUAAAAAUAGUUAUUAUUAAUAAAAAUGUUAUAAUUUAUUUUAUAAAUUAAAUUAUUUAUUGAAAUUUUAAAUAUUUAUUAAAGUAUUUAUUUAAAUUAUUAAAAUAAAAAAAUAAUGAUAAAAUUAGUAUAAUAUAUUGUAAAAUUAAAUAUAAUUGAAAAGUUAUUUUAAAGAAUUCGGCAAAAAUUAAUAUUCGCCUGUUUAACAAAAACAUGUCUUUUUUUAUUUUAUAAAAAGUCUGACCUGCCCACUGAAUUAUUUUAAAUGGCCGCAGUAUAUUAACUGUGCAAAGGUAGCAUAAUCAUUAGUCUUUUAAUUGAAGGCUUGUAUGAAUGGUUUGACGAAAUAUUAACUGUUUCAUAUUAAUUUAUAUUAAAAUUUUAUUUUUUAGUAAAAAAGCUAAAAUUUAUUUAAAAGACGAGAAGACCCUAUAAAUCUUUAUAUUUAAUUUAUUAAUAUUUUUUGGAAUUUUUUUGUUAUAAUAAAUAAUUAAUAUUUUAUUGGGGUGAUAUUAAAAUUUAAAAAACUUUUAAUUAAUUUUUACAUUAAUUUAUGAAUUAUUGAUCCAUUAUUAGUGAUUAAAAAUUUAAGUUACUUUAGGGAUAACAGCGUAAUUUUUUUGGAGAGUUCUUAUCAAUAAAAAAGAUUGCGACCUCGAUGUUGGAUUAAGAUAUAAUUUUAGGUGUAGAAGCUUAAACUUUAAGUCUGUUCGACUUUUAAAUUCUUACAUGAUCUGAGUUCAGACCGGCGUAAGCCAGGUUGGUUUCUAUCUUUAAAAAUUUAAAAUAUUUCAGUACGAAAGGACCUAGUAUUUAAUAAAUUAUUAUUUUUAUAUUGAAUUUUAUUAAUAUUACU